rnacentral:tRNA from 1 species
GCCCGAGUGAUGGAAUUGGUAGACGUGACGGACUCAAAAUCCGUUGGCAGCAAUGCCGUGUGGGUUCGAGUCCCACCUCGGGCACCA